CAGUCGCGUUGGCUAGAAAUCAACAUUGCUCUUGCUUUGUGUAUUUUCUGGUUGACGGGUCAGCAUCAAUUUUGACCAUUGGAGAAAGGCUUUGGGAAUGUGGCACCCUCGGGUGUGUUAUAGCCCUUUGUUGUAUACAACGGUUGGGAUUGAGGACUGCAGCACGCCUUUAUGGCCGGGGUUCGCCCCACGUACGUGCUUAGGAUGUUGGCAUAAUGGCUUUAAGCGACCCGUUUGAAACACGGACCAAGGAGUCUAACAU
rnacentral:rRNA from 1 species